UUGGAAAAAAACGUGUCUCAUUUCGGGAAGUUUGUGUAUCUACCUCCGAGGAACCGAGUUACCGUUACCACAGAGCUGCUUCCUAAACCGGUAUUCAUCGUAAUACCCAUUUACAUACCUAAAAAAAUCAACAUUAUUCGAUUAUGCCAGCACCGGAAAACCAGGUGACCACUGGUUAUUGGCUUAGGAUGUGAGAUUCCAUGGUGCAAUUCGUUCCUAAAAAUAAAAGGCAAAGGAUAAAAAAAAGCUCAACGCAAUUACAUAUUACUGUAUUCCCUUGGGACAUUGGCGUAAAAUGACCCUAUCGUGCGGCAAUCGAGAGGAAUGUGCGGUGAUGCUUCCUUCCGGAAGGAAAGUUUUCGCAAGGCAAAGAUUACCCGGUUGUGCUGUCACCGUGGACUGAACUGUACGAGGGAAUUUCCGCAAAGAAAGCGGAAUCGGAACUGGAAUACAAAAGCUAAUAAAGGUCGCUUGCUGUGCACACUAUCUCAUGGAAUUGAUUUAGUAGGCGCAACUCGGAUUAGCCAACAAUCGGAUACCGAGCAUGGGAAACCUGUAUGGGGUCCGUCACAGGUGGUGCUGCUGUUCUAGAUGUCCGUACGGAUUGCCGGAAACAACGGAAAAUUUAUAGUUGCUGGUUUAAUGCGAGAUCCACCCUUGGGCAAAAACGGACCUGCUGGAGCGAGUUUCAGGCAAUACGUCCAAAACAUCAACUCUCUUCCCUGACCCACAAGGCUGUUUUAUCAGUAUCUGGUGGUACAAUCUCGGGUGGCAAUAAUGUUACGAAUCUCGUAGCAGCGUUUGCCGGAUAGCUGCAAAUUAACAUCUUCCCAGCGGGCAGGAUUCUACACAGGAUACUUCGGAACCAGAACUGCAGUUACUUCCCAUCUUCGCCCGACCAUGAAGCUGAUCCAGGAAUCCACCGGUGUCGCAGAGCCCGAGUGAUUUAAAAGCAUGGCUAUACAGCUUUUUAAUAAUUUUGAUUUUAAAUAAAAUGAUGUUUUUAUUUCCAACCUUCCAGCAUUGAAAACAAACUUCAAAAAUAAAGAUUGCUGACGUCUAA